CGCCAUCCUAACAAGCGUGCAGCUGGGGCUUUGACUGGUGUUUCUCUGAUGAUUUCAGCGUCUUCAUGCACUUGUUGGCUUCUUGUAUUUUUGGCCUUCGCUUUUAUAGCUGAAUGCAGGUUGUGUCUCUGAGCAGAAAAAAGGCCGAUGUGUGGGUGGCAGGAAUGCUGCUGUCACCAAGUGCUGAGAGCACAGAAGGCAGCUGGGUGGGUGCUUAUCCAGCCCCAGUGGGCCACAGAGGGGCUCCCUCCCUGCUAGCCAGGCUUGGGGCUGGGGCUGAGCCUCUACUCGCCCUCCCAGCAGGCCAUAUCUGUGUAGUGCACAGGCGGUCCAGCGACCCCUCAUUCCUGGAUGCUGAGCUCACAAGUGGGUGCCAGCGUCCAUGCCGUGCGUGGAGGAACGGAGGCCUGAGAGGUGUGGUGCCCUGCUGACAGCCCUGCUGCUGGCCAGCGGCAGCACGCGACAAUUCCCACCCCCUUCGCAGCCCACCCCAGCCAGCUGGAAGGUUAAUGGGAAAUAUGAGAGCAAGUUGGCGGGACCUCACAAAGGCAUUUGCAGGAGUCCCUGCUGCGGUUUUGUUCUGUCUUGAAAUCAUUCCCUGUGCACCAGGAUGUACAGAUGGGGACUCGGAUUCCCUUUCGAGACGAGCCUGAUUCCAGGAGUUGUUGAAUGCUUGGAUGGUUGGUUCUAGAAAUUUCUUUCUCCCCACAAAGACACUGCACUCUCUGGGGCCAGGCUCACCUCUUGUUCCCCGGGGAGGGUCACUGGCAAGCCGCUUCCCACCAGUUGUGCUGCACCAGCCCCACAUAGAGCUGGGUGUGCCUUGAACUCAGCAGCGCUGCCUCCAGGAGGGUCCACUUGGUUUUGCUGAGGGCUAUGUAGGUCAUGAUGGCAACACUCACGUCCCUGCAGGCCCACAGUGGGUGGGUGCUGCCGGUGAGGGCCAUUGGUGGAGGAGUGGAGGAGUCACAGCCAACCCACCAGGUUUUCAGCCCCUGGAGGUGGGAGGAGCCCUGGAGCCCCGGAGGUCGAGGCUGCAGUGAGCGGUGAUCGCACCCCUGCACUCCAGCCUAUCUUGGACGCAUCUUUUUCACUGUCAUUUUUCUAACCCUGAAGAUAAGACAAGGGGUUGACCUAGGAGGGCUUGGGAGCCUUGUCCCGCUCUACUUCCUGGGGUCGAGAUGAGACCAAGCUGUAGGAUCUUUGUGACUCUGAAGUUGACUUUGACCUUGCAGCAUUUUGCUGAACUCCAGGGUGAAUUAGGAGGCUGACAGCCCUGUGGUUACAGCCAGUGCUUUGGCCAUGGGUGUGGGCCUGUCCCAGGCUUAGUAGUAGCUGUGGGACCUGGUAGAAUCUGCUUAGCCCUCCAGCGCAGUUUCCUCGUGUCCCAGCUGGAAAUAAUACCUGCCUCCCGGAACUGUUAGGGCAAAGCCCGGAGACCAGAGGCCAGCAUACCACCAGAGCUGGUGGCUUUGGUGAUUGUGGUGGAGAUGGUGGUGGUGAUGAUGGUGAUUGUGAU